rnacentral:rRNA from 1 species
UGGGGAAUAUUGGGCAAUGGGCGAAAGCCUGACCCAGCGACACCGCGUGGGUGAUGAAAGCCUUCGGGUUGUAAAGCCCUUUCGUGCGGAAAGAACUGUUCCGCGGUUAAUACCCGCGGAAUUUGACGGUACCGCAGGAAGAAGCACCGGCUAACUCCGUGCCAGCAGCCGCGGUAAUACGGAGGGUGCGAGCGUUGUUCGGAAUUAUUGGGCGUAAAGGGCGCGUAGGCGGUUGUGUAAGUCAGAUGUGAAAUACUCCGGCUUAACCGGGGAACUGCGUUUGAAACUACACAGCUAGAGUACAGGAGAGGGAAAUGGAAUUCCCGGUGUAGAGGUGAAAUUCGUAGAUAUCGGGAGGAACACCAGUGGCGAAGGCGAUUUUCUGGCCUGAUACUGACGC